rnacentral:rRNA from 1 species
AAGUUGACCGCCUGGGGAGUACGGCCGCAAGGCUAAAACUCAAAUGAAUUGACGGGGGCCCGCACAAGCGGUGGAGCAUGUGGUUUAAUUCGAUGCAACGCGAAGAACCUUACCUACCCUUGACAUCCAGAGAAUCUGUUAGAGAUAGUAGAGUGCCUUCGGGAACUCUGAGACAGGUGCUGCAUGGCUGUCGUCAGCUCGUGUUGUGAAAUGUUGGGUUAAGUCCCGUAACGAGCGCAACCCUUAUCCUUAGUUGCCAGCACGUAAUGGUGGGAACUCUGGGGAGACUGCCGGUGAUAAACCGGGGGAAGGUGGGGACGACGUCAAGUCAUCAUGGCCCUUAUGGGUAGGGCUACACACGUGCUACAAUGGCCAGUACAGAGGGCUGCGAACUUGCAAAAGUAAGCGAAUCCCAGAAAGCUGGUCCUAGUCCGGAUUGGAGUCUGCAACUCGACUCCAUGAAGUCGGAAUCGCUAGUAAUCGCGAAUCAGAAUGUCGCGGUGAAUACGUUCCCGGGCCUUGUACACACCGCCCGUCACACCAUGGGAGUGGGUUGCAAAAGAAGUGGGUAGUCUAACCUUCGGGAGGGCGCUCACCACUUUGUGAUUCAUGACUGGGGUGAAGUCGUAACAAGGUA